UUGAGUCGGAGCCGGCAUUUUAGGGUUCUAUUUCCUAGGCACGGCGAUUACUCGUCCCUGCAGUCGACAGCUGCCCCUUUCGUGGAGGUCCCGGAUUGCAGUAGGAAAGAGAUACACGUCUGAGCGAUGAGCAAUCGGCUCGGGAGAGAGAGCGCGCGCGUGUGGCGAUGGAUGUGAGUCCGUCGUCUUUUGGAGACGCUUUGGCUACGGGCGACUACUUGGCUGCUACCUGGGAUUAUCACGAGGUCAGGCACGGUUCAUCUCUCUCUC